rnacentral:lncRNA from 1 species
AUAUUGCAGGUAGGAGAUCAUGAGCCUCGGUGGCUUGAGUGGACAUGGAAAGAGGAAAUGUGUAAUGUGAAGUUAACCUCAAUGUGAUGUGCCAAGGGCAUGUGAAAUCACAAGGAGAAAGUGCAGUAUUUACUGAGUGAGCAGCUAUUCCAGUCAAUGGUAAGUGAUUUUUUUUUUUUUUUUUUUUGACGGAAUCCGGCUCUGUCGCCCAGGCUGGAAUGCAGUGGCGCAAUCUCGGCUCACUACAACCUCCGCCUCCCGUACUCUGGAGACUGAGGUGGAAGGAUCACUUGAGCCCAGGAAGUUGGUGGCUGCAGUGAGCCAAGACGGCACCACUGCACCCCAGCCUGGGUGACAGAGUGAGACCCUGUCUCAAGAAUAACAAACAGAUAAACAAAAAAUCCAGCAUGAGUGUAUUAUGGAGUAGAAUGCAACAUUUCUUUUUAUCGAAAACAAGACUUCAAAGAUAGGCCCUGCACAUUGCAGUCAUUUGCGGCCACACUUGUAGAUCCUUCAAAUUACGGAAUCAUCUUUACUGUCCUAAGGAAGAUGGACGUUUCUGCAUUCUUGCUACUCUCAACUCCAUUCCAACUCAUCUGUCUCUCCUCAGCCAGUGACUCCUGAGGGCAGUGUCAGGAAAACGACUAGUAGCUUGUAUAUCUAACAAUAGAGAAAUGCUUAGGGUUCAGUGAGCAUUUGACAAAUGAAAAUAGAGAUGAAAGAAAUAGUGGCUUCUAAAUUUAGGAAUGAUUGCUUUUGAUCUAGACAUUUCAGCUAGUGCCUCUGUACUCUGAAAAAUACCUGGAAAGGACACACCAGAAAGAAGAAGCCACUGAACAGGAAAAGGCCAUGAGAGAUGAGAAGAUGAUCAACGGAAGAGGAUAUAGGAUGAAGAUACACAAGUUCGGGUGGGGAGGAGAUGAAGAAAAAGAAGAGGAUAAUUGGAAGGAAAUAUCUUUCUCUACCCCUGACCAAAUUGACUGGUUUGAGUUUGUUGCCUGACGUAAGCAGCAUCAAUGGGCCCAAGGCUGUGGUACAUAAAGCCCACAAACUAUGUGGAUCACGGU